GGACGAGACUUCAUACAUCUCUGCUCCUCCUCGCUCCCUCCGCUCGUCUCUCCCUCCGGCAAAGCGAACGGGGAAUCCAUGAUCGCAAGGAGGUCUGGUUGCAAAGAUUGAUACAGGAAGUCGAGUCAGAUUCCACUUUCGAGGGGAAUUCAUCCUCUCUCCAGGAAAAUCACAGUAUGUGAGAGGCCGUAGCGCAAUGUCGUAUAUUGAAAUGGACAAGCUUUCUCUUCCUGAGAUCAUUGGGCAUCUUGGUGAUCAUAUGUCUUCCUCUGAUGCACUGCAUUUGCAUUGGUUGCGUCCGGGGAAGGAGUUGGUCAAUGGGCUUAUCCUAUUGGCUGAUGAUGCAUCCUGCCAAAUGAUGCGUGAUCACAUCAACACUGGUGGAGUAGCAGAUAUUUAUGUAGAGGAUAUUUCUAUGGAGGAAGGUGAUAAUGAGGGAUCCUACAGAUCACCGUCACAGCCAGGGAGUUCAAACAGAGAUGUACCUCAAGGUGAACCUGAUAGCAGAACAGAAUGUGAAGAUACUGACACUACUUCAGAUGAAGAUUAUGAGCAGCUUGUAGAGGACAACAGCUCUGCAGAUGAUGAUGAAGCAGAACAGCUUAAGAAAUUUGCCAAGGACAUAAAGAGAAACAUAAGGGCAGAUAAGCUAGGAGUCCAUGGAAGCCAAAUAGAAGGGGAAAAUGCAAAUGGGUACCUACUCUAUUAGCUGAAGUAGAUGACUUACAAGAUGUAGCUAGUCCCUACUAUGAUUCAAGUGAUGACUACUCUUAUGGAUUCUAGGUUCAAGCCAAUCAUUUUUAUGCAUGAGGCUAUAAGAUGCAAGGUUAUGGUCAGAAUCCAAGAGAACAGGGACAAGACAAAUAGGUGGCAGGGAACAAUAUCCCAAACAUAUUCAGAAAGUUGAAGCUCAACAUUGUGAGAUCCAGCAACUGUCAAGUGUUAUAUGGAAUGGACAAGAUGGGUUUGAACUGACUGAGAAUAACAAGUGGAGGUAUACUGUCAAUUUGGAGCAGAAAGCAUGUAGCUGCAGGUAUUGGCAACUCUCAAGUUUGCCAUGUUGUCAUGCUAUCAGUGCAAUAUACAAAGGCAUCCAAGCACUUGGAUGAUUUCAUAGCACCAUGUUUCUCAAUAUUAGAGUACAAGAAAACCUAUCAACAUUGUUUGCAUCCAGUUGAAGGGCAACACAAUUGGCCAAUUUCUAACAUGCCAAGGCCACUUCCUCCUGCUUAUAUUAGGAUGCCAGGGAGGCCCAAGACACAAAGAACAAGGGAGCCAGGAGAAGCACCUAAGGGAACAAAGUUAAGUAAGGUGGGAAUCAAGAUGAGGUGUAGGAUGUGUCAGAAAACUACACACAAUUCAAGGACUUGUCAAAGAAAUCCAGAAGCAGGCAAAAAGAAGAAUUCCUACAUCAAGAGAGAUGCUAGGAAAAGGAAGAGAAGUGAGGAGCUGACAUCGGUUGCAGGCACAUCAAAUCCAGGGGGUGGAGUCGGCACACAGGAGAGUAGCACUACUCAACUUGGAAGAAACAACAGGGCAAGGAGGGAACCAACUCAGCCUGGAAGAAGAAGCACGGCAAGAGGGGCUCCAGUUCAGACUGGUAGCAGCAACAAUAUGUCGAGAAUGGCACACCUGAUAUUUGGGAACAACUACUGAAGUAGCCGAGGAAUCAGAAACUAGGAUGCUUUUUGUACAAGCCUGUUAUCUAGGCAGCACAUGUAGCAGCUUGAUUACCUUUUGUUUGUGAAUAUUUGAAUGCUAUGGCAAAACAACAUUAGCUGUUGAACAUGUAUGGAUGGUUAAUUUGCUGGUUACGUAUGAUUUUUGGAAAACAUCUGGUGGCUGGUUAUGAUUUAUAAAUAUGUGUGCCUUUGAA